GGACCCGUUCUUAGCCUAUUCCACGUUGCAUUCCUUAUGCUUCCCCGUCCAGCCGCCGCCACGACCGGUGCUCCCUGCCCAAUCCCAAGACCAGCCGUCGGCUCCGUUCCGCGGCCAGCCGCCGCCACGCUGGUCGCUUCCAGGCCAGUCUCCCGGUUAGCCGCCGCCACGCCCGAGGCUCUGCCGGCCAGCCGCCGUCGCCGCGAUCGACGCUCCUCCGCCGGUUGCCGGUGCCACGAACUGACGUACAGUACCAAAAUUUGAUUGAUUUAACACAUGCUCCUGCAAAUCUGAAUCCCCGCUCGAUUGAGUGAAAACAUGCAGGUCUUAAGAUUUCAUCAUAUCUCAUUUAGACUUGCGGUUGGCUAAUUCUUCACAUCCUCCAUGUUGAAGGCCCCCUGUAAUACAAUUUAUUUAUUCACCUAUUAACUUCAGAUUGUCUAAGCAUCCGUCAGAUUGGUAAAAGAUGCCAAGUGGCCUUUUUUAUUUUCAGGUUCUUGCUUGCUGGCAAGCACAUCAAUUAUUUGCUAAAAUGUCAUACUAAAAAAGGAUUCCUUCCGCUUGAAUUGUGGUCUCCACAACUAUCCUGCAAUAUUUGGAAUCAAUAACAUAUGCACGGAAAUAUUCACAUUAUAUGCUGAUGAACAUCAAAUUUCUCCUUCGUCCAUGGUGUUGUAAAUCAUGAAAAGAAAUAUUCAUGCAGCCAUAUCAACAGCCAACCGCCCCUCCUCAAAUCAUGUUGUAUUUAUUGACUUCUCACAUUUUAAGUCCACCAUUUUCUGGAAGCUAACAAUUUUCAUAUUAGUUUUAUGCCUGGAGCAAGUCAAGUCGAUUCUCUAAUCAUAACAUGCAUAUUUCAUGUCUUUCAGGUACUGUGACACUAGCUUUAUGCUGGGGAUAUGGAGUGCGCAUCCAGAAUUGACUAAAUUUCAUAGUCGAAGAAAAAGAGGGCGAUGGUUGGCAAGAAUGAUAAUAGUGUGGACUGAGUUAAGAGGGACUUGAUCAGUAUGAGAAAAACUAUUUCUUGAAUGUUGCUUUGGUAAUAUUUUGUUUGGGCGUAUAGUGAGCCCACUUAAGAAAUCAGCUUAUGUACUAACAAUAUGUGUAUUGUUCUCUUGCUUGCAUGUUCAGUUUCGCUUUAUUGGCUCCAAAUUUGUUAUCCAGAUGAAUACCUUAUUUAAGAUAAUAUGUGGCAUUUUUUUGAAGUUAUCAUGGACGACGUGUGUGUUGAAUGGUCGGAGAAUAUGUAUGUAGUUAAUGUUUUCCUUCUUGAAAGAAAAUGAAAUUUCGUUAACUAUUUCUUUGCACUUUGUAUACACCAUUUCGUUACAUGCUUCAUGUUUUUAAUUUUUUAAAUGAAUAAACUGAGGAAACUUUACAUUUGCUUUGCAUUGAUUUUAUUUCAUUUUGUAGCAGCUAUUUAUACAUUUAUUUAGCAAGGUUACCGCAGCAACGCGCGGGGUAUCAUCUAGUUUCUUUUAUUAGUAGGUAUAGAUAAUGCGGUGUUUUCACGUGCCUUUUGUGGUGUGAUUCUAUGUUAUAUGUUAAUCAACCCAUAACUAUAUGGAGAAAUUUCUACAUCGUUGGUUCCAUAAACUAUAUUGGUGCUACAGUAUCACAAGUUGAUGCCUUUUUUUAGGUGAUGAGAGGGUACGCGGAAUGACACGUUUUUAUAGGCUAGUUGUUGUCGAUUGAUUUGAGAAAUUGUUGACCCAGUCAAAAUGUGUGCCAAUUCAAAAAUCGAAUAUCUUACUCGAAUGAGAGAGCUUUAAAAUUAGGGCAUAGUUAAUUAAAAGAUUUGAAUUAGAGAGCUUCUUAAGAAUUUUUUGACUCAGCCAAAACAGAGUGACCCAAUGUAAGACCUCAACUGAAUGUGAUGUCUCGUGGUAGAAUUUUUUUAACUCCCUACUUGAAUUUUAAUUUCAGAUUCUAAAGAACUUUUUAUAACCAUUUCAUUAAAUUAGUGUACUUUGCUGGAAGGAGUGAAGAACUUCUCAUUUUUGCUGUAAAGGGCUAAAUAAACAGUAUCAGGAGUUGAAGAAUUUUCUUAUUAGUGGGUCUGCACUUUGUUAGAAAUAUUAAAGAAAAAACUUUGCUAGAAAAUGUAUUUGGAACAGAAGAACUUUAUAAACAACUUGUCUGAACAUUGAUGAAAGUUUAUGUAACUUGUUUUGAGCCAUGCACAGUUUAAUUUUAUCUGGGGCUCACAAUUUAAUUUGGAAUAUAUUGUACUAGUUUCGUAGGGCUGGCCGUGAGAAAUUCAAAUACAUAAACAAAUUUAAAUUUGCACAAAUUUAUUUAAAGGUUAUGGUGACAUAUUUGUUUAUUGUGUAAUUUGUGUCGAAGAGGUGAUAGCAUGGGGCCAUGGGCCAAGGGAAUCUAGUUCAAGAGGAAAGAGAGAAUACAUGCAAUACCCCGAAUAUCCGACAAUAUCCACGGUUGGUACAUACAAGAUCGACCAGAGAAGUUAAUCCAGCGAAAUCAUGAACCAAAUUAAUCCGACCAUGAAUCACUCUGCUCGGCAUCAGUGUAGCGGCCAGUACUUCAAAAUAAUUGUAGCUGUCAAUGCACACCUGACGACCGCUCGGCGUGGCUAUCUCAAGAACAAUCAACAAUGGGAAGGCAACAGGAAAUCAAUCAAUUAGCUACUCCCUCUGUAAACUAAUAUAAGAGCGUUUAGAUCACUAAAGUAGUACCCUCCAAUGUUAGGGUCACCUUGCUAAAGUAGUACGUACACCUUGCUCUGUACACUGAGCAAGGAGUACCUAUUUGAUUUCACAAACAUUGAUAUAUUUUUGCACAAACUCGGUCAAACUUUGAAAUAGUUUGACCCUCCAACAAAGUUGGAAGUACACUCUUUAAAGGACGGAGGGAGUACACUCUACCUGUAUCUGUAUGUAUUUUGGUCAUUCUCAGUUCGUUCAAAUUCAUUUCUGCAAUGCACAGUUAUGAUUGCGUUCAUAGUUCACAUGUAACGUCGCAAACAAUGUAUCAACAGAUUUAAACAUAGUUUUAUUUAUUUAUGUAGAGUUUAACUUCCGUGACGACUAUUCCUUAAAUUACAAGUUCUCACUUAGCUAUUACAAGUUUUUCUGACUAGCAUAACACUUAGAGUAUGUAAAUGAUUAUUUCUGCUCCUGGAAUCUUGUUUGUACUUCUUAUCUCCUUUUCUUCUUUGUCUUUGUAAAAUUCUACUUGCUUCUGAUUGCUUCAAUAACAUUCCUAUUCUUUAGUCCUCAACUAAUUUUUGAACUUCUCGAUUGUUCUGGAUCUGCAUUGUAUGGUCUAUCUAGAACCAUCUUGUCUCAUUUGGUUAUCUGUUGAUUCAUCAACUUCCUCCUUUCUGUAUCUGCAUUUUAAUAGAGAACUGAAGCUUGCAAUUGGUACUGAGAUGUUGUCAGUAUUAAGAUGGCUCAUUAGAGUCAUUUGUGGCACCUCCUUACUUGAGAUUGUGUGGUACUUACCCCACUUGUAGUUGCAAAUCUUGAUCUCCAAACUUUGCACCUUCUGUUUCCUGCAUUUUUUUAUCAUAAUGAAUAUACGAGUCAUAGUUUCAAUGCCAUUUGAUGCCCAAAAAAGAGGAAUGCAAUUGAAUUUUUUAUUAUUAUUUUGACGUCUACUAAUGUUGUUGUAAUAGUGUUGCAUACCUUGUUGUUAAUUACAAUAUGAUUUUCUAUCCCUUAAUGUCCUAGUUGCUCACUAUCCAUUUGUGCAACUUCUGAGACCUGCAAAUGCAAUUUUCCAAAAAUCUUAUUAUUCUCCAAUCACAACAAUUUUUAUAUUGACUUUCCAGUUUCUAGUAUUCCAUGUGUGUAAUUUUUGGCACCUGCAUAAGAAUUUCAUUGCAUUAGUAAUCUAUUUUUUUAGCUAAGAUAAUCUGAAGUUUUGGUCCCUUUGCUCCUGUAAAACAUUUGGAUUUGCUACUCAUGUAGCUUUUGUAGCUGACAUCGAUCUUGUGCAACUUUAGUACACUUCAUAUGGAAUUUUCACAUGAUGGCCAUAUAUGUUGGAUAGUUAAUCGGAGUAUUAAUGGUUGCAAUAGGGGCAAAAUGCCUUCAAUGCCAAGCUUUCUAGCAGUGUUUGUGAAUGAACUUUGAUUUAACCUUGUUGACAUUUUCAUUUACUCCC